rnacentral:lncRNA from 1 species
ACAACGUGUUUGGUAAGAUAAUACAUAAUAACUAUAAAGUUAUUAGUAACUUUGUGGACGCCAUCUUUAUUGUGUUUUGUAAUUCCAAUCAUGGCCACUAAGUAUUGUGCUCCAAGGUGUAGAACAGGAUAUGACAAUGAGCCACAACAGUCUGGUAUUACGAUCCAUCUAUGGCCAAACAAAGAGAGAAGCUCCAGACUUGAUACCCCCUGGCUGAGAGCCAUUCCAAGAGAAACAGGUCUGAAGAAGACAGAUUAGGGACCAUCCAAAAGUACAAAGCUGUGUUCCCUGCAUUUCAACGACUCUGAUUUCAUCUGUGAGUCUAAAAGAAGUUAGACCCUUGGCAUGGCUUCAAAGAAGAGGUACAUCAAAACACAUGUAGUACCAUCCCUAUGGUCAAACUGUCCCAAGUACCUCUCAACUCCCAAAGCGUCAUCAAGGGCAGCUCAAGCUGCGACCACGUCACGUAGGGAUCAACAGUUCAAUGAACUACAACAGCAUGCUGUGUUUCAAGAAUCAUCAAUUGGAGUACUUAAAGUUUUUCAGAACUAUGUGGAAUAUCCUAAACGUCAAGACACCUGGAGUUAGCUACGAAAAGAGAGAUGAGCUUCGGGAACCAAUAUCUGAGAAGAACAAACUUGGCCUCUCUUUCUUGAGAGAUUUUGUCCAUUUUGUCAUCGAGUGGCAAGACAGUAAAUCACCUGGCCUCACAGCAAAAUCAUCCUAGCAACAAAGCAGACGUGUCUUUGUGCAGCCGAUCUGGCAGAGUAUCUUCUCCUAUAUGAAAACUUCUCCUAUGUACUCCUCGGCAUGUUCCAGUCUGAUCCCAUCGAAUCAUGGUUCGGCUGGUAUAGACAACUAAGUGGAGGUAUCUACUACAUCAGCGUGAGAUAGAUCCUGGAAGGAGAUAAAAAGAUUUGUAUGCAGAGUCUUGUCAAAUUCUGAGGUAUGAGUACUUCAGAUAUUAAAGCUCUGCUGGAUGAAGACCUAGUAAAAGCAGAGCUCAUUUUGACUAACUGGCAACCAGAUGACCUCCAGGAACUAGCUUCCAAGGGAGAGAGUAAUGCUCUCUACUUUGUUGCCGGGUAUAUUGGUUUUUCUUUGAAGAAGAAGAUCAGCUGUACAUCAUUCCAAGAGUUAUGGUCCUCAGAGACACACCUCUGGACUCAAUAACCUUCGAUAGCUCAACCAAUCAGCAUGUAGACCUGAAAGAGUUCAUCGACAUAAUGAGUAGAGGGUGGUUCUCGACUCAAACCGACCUUCUCUACAUCUCCUGUCUUUAUGCUUACUCCAUAUUCUCUUACAUUACAGCUACUCUUGAAGAGAAAGACAGUUUACUUGGCACCCCAAAUCCUAGAGCUUCAUUUGUUGCCACAUUCAUUGACAGGAUGCAGGACAGUUUAAACUCUGAAAUUAUCAUCGUUGUGGGAGUAAAGUACGAGGAAUGAAACUCCUAGUCAGCUUUUCUUCAAAGAAUUUCAUUCGCUUUGUUUAAUGUUAUUGGUAAAAAUUUAAGUGCAAAACUGAAUGAUGAUAUGCGAUUUUUAACAAAAAAAGAAAAUGACAGCUAAGAAUUCAGAAGCUAAUAGAAAAAAAUCUAAAUUUCAAACAAAAUCUUCUGACUUGUAGACUUGGACCAAUUUUGUACUUUUUGAUAGUGCCUUCCCAUUUUUAUAGGUUUUUAAUGUUUAUUUUGAUUAAAGUACUAAUAAAAUACCACUUCUAUUA